GAUGAAGAACGUAGCGAAAUGCGAUAAGUAAUGUGAAUUGCAGAAUUCAGUGAAUCAUCGAAUCUUUGAACGCACAUUGCGCCCGCCAGUAUUCUGGCGGGCAUGCCUGUUCGAGCGUCAUUUCAACCAUCAAGCCCCCGGGCUUGUGUUGGGGACCUGCGGCUGCCGCAGGCCCUGAAAAGCAGUGGCGGGCUCGCUGUCACACCGAGCGUAGUAGCAUACAUCUCGCUCUGGGCGUGCUGCGGGUUCCGGCCGUUAAACUACCCUUUUAACCCAAGGUUGACCUCGGAUCAGGUAGGAAGACCCGCUGAACUUAAGCAUAUCAUAAGCGGAGGA
rnacentral:misc_RNA from 1 species